rnacentral:rRNA from 1 species
ACUUUCGAUGGUAGGAUAGAGGCCUACCAUGGUGGUAACGGGUAACGGGGUGUUAGGGCACGACACCGGAGAGGGAGCCUGAGAAACGGCUACCACAUCCAAGGAUGGCAGCAGGCGCGCAAAUUACCCAAGCCCGACACGGGAGGUAGUGACAAUAAAUAACAAUACGGGGUUCUUUCGGAUCUCGUAAUUGGAAUGAGUACAAUUUAAAUCUCUUAACGAGGAACAAUUGGAGGGCAAGUCUGGUGCCAGCAGCCGCGGUAAUUCCAGCUCCAAUAGCGUAUAUUAAAGUUGUUGCAGUUAAAAAGCUCGUAGUUGAAUUUCGGGAUCAGAGUGUCGGUCGUGCCUCGGUACGCACUGGUAUUAUUGGUUCCUACCUUCUGAAGAACCGCGAUGUCAUUAAUUUGGUGUCGUGGGGAAUCAGGACUGUUACUUUGAAAAAAUUAGAGUGUUUAAAGCAGGCUUACGCUUGAAUACAUUAGCAUGGAAUAAUGAAAUAGGACGUUUGAUUCUAUUUUGUUGGUUUCUAGGAUUGACGUAAUGAUUAAUAGGGAUAGUUGGGGGCAUUAGUAUUCAAUUGUCAGAGGUGAAAUUCUUGGAUUUAUUGAAGACUAACUACUGCGAAAGCAUUUGCCAAGGAUGUUUUCAUUAAUCAAGAACGAAAGUUAGGGGAUCGAAGACGAUCAGAUACCGUCGUAGUCUUAACCAUAAACUAUGCCGACUAGGGAUCGGAUGAUGUUAAUUUUUUAAUGACUCAUUCGGCGCCUUACGGGAAACCAAAGUGUUUGGGUUC